AUUACUGUAUGUGUGUGGCAGUGCUGGUGUAAACAAACCUGUAGUUCUGCCCGCUUUACAGAAUCAUCGCACACAGAUUUAUGACCAGUAUAGGACAGUCGAUAAUGAUAGCAAACAGCUGUGUGUCUGGUUUGUGUAUUUACUGUGCUGUACUUUGAUCAUUAUUUUAGGGUGUUUUCCUUCCGCUCGCAAAGUUGACCAUAAGCCACCUUGCUUUGGGGCCCACAGCAGCCUUUAUGGUCCCUGUAUACUGCACAUCUGGACUGCAUUGUUUGCUGUCCUCGUUUGGAUCGAAUCUCUUAUUUUGUUCAUCAUGGCCCCAGGAGUCCUGGGCUGUGCCACCUCCCUAUACCCUGCAGCCCAGGUGUGCCUCGGGCUGUGCUGCCUGGCAUGUGUAAGUGCUCUCUUGGAUGUUCGAAUGAUGAAAUCGCUCAGCAACACACUUCUCGCCAUGGUCCCCAUUGCUAAAUGAUGAUGUCAUUGUACUCAAAGAACAAUGAGGUGUUGUCGCUAGAUCAUUAUGGGCCACCCACUGUGUGUCCAACACUGUUCUAAAUGCUUUAUAGUUUACGCUUUUUAAUCCAUGGUGAGCAGCCCCAAAGGAGUAGUAAUAUCAUUUCCCCUUUUACAGAUGAGGACACGGAGGCACAGAAUGCUUAUUGAAUUGCUGAAGGUCACAAAGCCCUGAUAUGUAUUUUGUGACAGAGAAAUGCCCGAGGAGUCAGGAAUGCCAAGAUUGUCCUUAGGUUUCCAGGCAGUGACUGUCUCUUACUUCUGCUGUAGCUCCCAGCUCUGCACGGCUAUAUGCCACUUCUUGUCCCAGCACCUACCAGCCCCAGACGCAGACAAGGCGUCACGUCAUAUUUGGAUCCCCGUGUGCACAUCUAACGUGUGUGUAUAUAGACACAGACGCCUCUGCAUGUUCGACCUGGUAAUUUGGGAUCAGGAAUGGUGACAUCACUUGGAUGGACAACCAGACUCUGGGGAAGAAACUAUGGUAACCUGCACUUAACUUCCAC
rnacentral:lncRNA from 1 species